GGUUAAGUUAGAAAGGGCGCACGGUGGAUGCCUUGGCACUAGGAGCCGAAGAAGGACGGGACUAACACCGAUAUGCUUUGGGGAGCUGUACGUAAGCGUUGAUCCAGAGAUUUCCGAAUGGGGGAACCCACUAUCUUUAGUCGGAUAGUAUCCUUACGUGAAUACAUAGCGUGAGGAAGGCAGACCCAGGGAACUGAAACAUCUAAGUACCUGGAGGAAGAGAAAGAAAAAUCGAUUUCCUGAGUAGCGGCGAGCGAAACGGAAAGAGCCCAAACCAAGAAGCUUGCUUCUUGGGGUUGUAGGACACUCUAUACGGAGUUACAAAAGAAAGUUAUAAAUGAAGCGGUCUGGAAAGGCCCGCCAAAGACGGUAACAGCCCGGUAGUUGAAAUGGCUUUCCCUCCAGAGUGGAUCCUGAGUACGGCGGAACACGUGAAAUUCCGUCGGAAUCCGGGAGGACCAUCUCCCAAGGCUAAAUACUCCCUAGUGACCGAUAGUGAACCAGUACCGUGAGGGAAAGGUGAAAAGCACCCCGGAAGGGGAGUGAAACAGUUCCUGAAACCGUGUGCCUACAAGUAGUUAGAGCCCGUUAAUGGGUGAUAGCGUGCCUUUUGUAGAAUGAACCGGCGAGUUACGAUUUGUUGCAAGGUUAAGCGGAAAAAGCGGAGCCGUAGCGAAAGCGAGUCUGAAUAGGGCGCAUAAGUAACAGGUCGUAGACCCGAAACCAGGUGAUCUACCCAUGUCCAGGAUGAAGGUAAGGUAAUACUUACUGGAGGUCCGAACCCACGCACGU
rnacentral:rRNA from 1 species